rnacentral:rRNA from 1 species
UACAGAGGUCCCAAGCGUUGUUCGGAUUCAUUGGGCGUAAAGCGUGCGUAGACGGUUAUGUAAGUCGGGUGUGAAAGCCCCGGGCUCAACCUGGGAAUUGCAUUCGAGACUGCAUAGCUAGGGUGCGGAAGAGGGAAGCGGAAUUUCCGGUGUAGCGGUGAAAUGCGUAGAUAUCGGAAGGAACACCAGUGGCGAAAGCGGCUUCCAGGUCCAGCACCGACGUUCAGGCACGAAAGCGUGGGGAGCAAACAGG